rnacentral:tRNA from 1 species
AGCCUUGAGGUGUCCUUACAUAUCAGAUUGCAAACCUGAAGAAGAAGAUUAAAAGUCUUCCGGGGCUU